AGUGAACGCUGGCGGUAGGCCUAACACAUGCAAGUCGAACGGCAGCACAGUAAGAGCUUGCUCUUACGGGUGGCGAGUGGCGGACGGGUGAGGAAUACAUCGGAAUCUACUUUUUCGUGGGGGAUAACGUAGGGAAACUUACGCUAAUACCGCAUACGACCUACGGGUGAAAGCAGGGGAUCUUCGGACCUUGCGCGAUUGAAUGAGCCGAUGUCGGAUUAGCUAGUUGGCGGGGUAAAGGCCCACCAAGGCGACGAUCCGUAGCUGGUCUGAGAGGAUGAUCAGCCACACUGGAACUGAGACACGGUCCAGACUCCUACGGGAGGCAGCAGUGGGGAAUAUUGGACAAUGGGCGCAAGCCUGAUCCAGCCAUACCGCGUGGGUGAAGGAGGCCUUCGGGUUGUAAAGCCCUUUUGCUGGGAAAGAAAAGCAGCAGGUUAAUACCCCGCUGUUCUGACGGUACCCAAAGAAUAAGCACCGGCUAACUUCGUG
rnacentral:rRNA from 1 species